CCUACGGGAGGCAGCAGUGGGGAAUAUAGGACAAUGGGGGCAACCCUGAUCCAGCCAUGCCGCGUGUGUGAAGAAGGCCCUCGGGUUGUAAAGCACUUUCAGUGAGGAAGAACGCCUGGUGGUUAAUACCCAUCAGGAAAGACAUCACUCACAGAAGAAGCACCGGCUAACUCCGUGCCAGCAGCCGCGGUAAUACGGAGGGUGCGAGCGUUAAUCGGAAUUACUGGGCGUAAAGCGCGCGUAGGUGGCUCGAUAAGCCGGUUGUGAAAGCCCCGGGCUCAACCUGGGAACGGCAUCCGGAACUGUCAAGCUAGAGUGCAGGAGAGGAAGGUAGAAUUCCCGGUGUAGCGGUGAAAUGCGUAGAGAUCGGGAGGAAUACCAGUGGCGAAGGCGGCCUUCUGGACUGACACUGACACUGAGGUGCGAAAGCGUGGGUAGCAAACAGGAUUAGAUACCCCGGUAGUC
rnacentral:rRNA from 1 species